rnacentral:rRNA from 1 species
GAUCAUGGCUCAGGAUGAACGCUAGCGACAGGCUAACACAUGCAAGUCGAGGGGCAGCACGGGAGUAGCAAUACUUGGUGGCGACCGGCGCACGGGUGAGUAACGCGUAUGCAACCUACCUAUCAGAGGGGAAUAACCCGGCGAAAGUCGGACUAAUACCGCAUAAAACAGGGGCACCGCAUGGUGAUAUUUGUUAAAGAAAUUCGCUGAUAGAUGGGCAUGCGUUCCAUUAGGUAGUUGGUGAGGUAACGGCUCACCAAGCCGACGAUGGAUAGGGGAACUGAGAGGUUGGUCCCCCACACUGGUACUGAGACACGGACCAGACUCCUACGGGAGGCAGCAGUGAGGAAUAUUGGUCAAUGGGCGGGAGCCUGAACCAGCCAAGUCGCGUGAAGGAAGAAGGAUCUAUGGUUCGUAAACUUCUUUUGCAGGGGAAUAAAGUGCAGGACGUGUCCUGUUUUGUAUGUACCCUGAGAAUAAGGAUCGGCUAACUCCGUGCCAGCAGCCGC